GGGAGCGACUUGGCUUCGACAGGAGUAAGUCUGCUUAGAUGGCAUGUCGCUUUGGGCAAAGCGUAAAAAGCCCAAAUAAAAUUAAACGCAAAUAACGUUAAAUUCGCUCCUGCUUACGCUAAAGCUGCGUAAGUUCAGUUGAGCCUGAAAUUUAAGUCAUACUAUCUAGCUUAAUUUUCGGUCAUUUUUGAUAGUGUAGCCUUGCGUUUGACAAGCGUUGAGGUGAAAUAAAGUCUUAGCCUUGCUUUUGAGUUUUGGAAGAUGAGCGAAGUAGGGUGAAGUAGUCAUCUUUGCUAAGCAUGUAGAGGUCUUUGUGGGAUUAUUUUUGGACAGGGGUUCGAUUCCCCUCGCUUCCACCA
rnacentral:tmRNA from 1 species